GAUGAAGAACGCAGCGAAAUGCGAUAAGUAAUGUGAAUUGCAGAAUUCAGUGAAUCAUCGAAUCUUUGAACGCACAUUGCGCCCGCCAGUAUUCUGGCGGGCAUGCCUGUUCGAGCGUCAUUUCAACCAUCAAGCCCCCGGCUUGUGUUGGGGACCUGCGGCUGCCGCAGGCCCUGAAAACCAGUGGCGGGCUCGCUGUCACACCGAGCGUAGUAGAUUUUCAUCUCGCUCAGGGCGUGCUGCGGGUUCCGGCCGUAAAAAGCCUUAUUUACCCAAGGUUGACCUCGGAUCAGGUAGGAAGACCCGCUGAACUUAAGCAUAUCAAUAAGCGGAGGGA
rnacentral:misc_RNA from 1 species